rnacentral:rRNA from 1 species
UACGUAGGGUGCAAGCGUUAAUCGGAAUUACUGGGCGUAAAGCGUGCGCAGGCGGUUUUGUAAGUCUGUCGUGAAAGCCCCGGGCUCAACCUGGGAAUUGCGAUGGAGACUGCAAGGCUUGAAUCUGGCAGAGGGGGGUAGAAUUCCACGUGUAGCAGUGAAAUGCGUAGAGAUGUGGAGGAACACCGAUGGCGAAGGCAGCCCCCUGGGUGAAGAU